GUGGGGAAUAUUCCGCAAUGGACGAAAGUCUGACGGAGCAACGCCGCGUGAGUGAUGAAGGUUUUCGGACUGUAAAGCUCUGUUGUUUAGGACGAAAGUGCCUGUUGCAAAUAGUUACAGGUAUUGACGGUACUGAACGAGGAAGCCACGGCUAACUACGUGCCAGCAGCCGCGGUAAUACGUAGGUGGCAAGCGUUGUCCGGAAUUAUUGGGCGUAAAGAGCACGUAGGCGGGAAUCUAAGUCUGUUGUGAAAAUGCGGGGCUCAACCCCGUAUUGCGAUGGAAACUGGGUUUCUUGAGUGCAGGAGAGGAAAGGGGAAUUCCCAGUGUAGCGGUGAAAUGCGUAGAUAUUGGGAGGAACACCAGUGGCGAAGGCGCCUUUCUGGACUGUGUCUGACGCUGAGAUGCGAAAGCCAGGGUAGCGAACGGGAUUAGAUACCCUUGUAGUCC
rnacentral:rRNA from 1 species